CUUUUAGACCUAUGCAAUGGUAUUUGGAAGGACUGUGUCAGGAUGGGAACAUAGCAGCACACUUUCAACUAUUAGGUGCCGUAGGUAUCUGAAAGGGG
rnacentral:SRP_RNA from 1 species